ensembl:lncRNA
UUUCCUGGGCCUUUUUUUUUUUUUUUUUUUUUUUUUUUUUUUUUUUUUUUUUUGUCUUUUUGCCUUUUCUAGAGCCGCUUGCCAGGGCAUAUGGAGGUUCCCAGGCUAGGGGUCUAGUCGGCGCUGUAGCUGCCAGCCUCCACCAGAGCCACAGCAACGCGGGAUCCAAGCCACGUCUGCAAUCUACACCACAGCUCACAACGCUGGAUCAUUAACCCACUGAGCAAGGCCAGGGAUCACACCCGAAACCUCAUGGUUCCUAGUCGGAUUUGUUAACCACUGCGCCACGAUGGGCACUCCCAUGCAUGGCCAUUUUCAUCAUUUGCACCUGCACUGAGGAAUACUCCAUUGCAAGGACAGAUCCUUUUAAUGAGGGAACCCAAGGUUUCUCCCAACCAAGGAACAGAUUCAAGUUAUCCAAGAGGCCACACAGCAGACAGCUAAUGCAGUUGACUGUUGGAAGAUGGAGGAGAUUGCACCAAGAGCCAGAUAUUCAUACCAGCUGUGGAACGCUGGCUGCCCAUGCAUCUCCUGCAAACAAGCAGACCCACUUCUGUUCCCACCUCUCUUCAGCUGCCUCCAUGACCAUCUCCCACCAUCAACCUGACAAAUGCAAACCCAGUCCGGUGAUGAACUUUCACUGAACGGAAAUUUCCCUGUCUGUGGCUUUUUCCCACAUUGAAUGCACUUUGGGUGGGAUGCACCAACUGACACCUGCAGAAGCUCUUACUGCACAGGUAGGUAGCAGGCAGCUCUUCUCAGAAGGUCUGGUUUGGCCACAUGGAUCUCGUGCAUUGACCCUCUCCUUAUAUUUCAACACCUGUGAUCACCGCUGGCUGCUAUUACAAACGACCAAGACCCACUGUACCAAGAGCAUAACCAUAACCCUGCACCAACAGCAUCUCCCUUUUUUAAAGCAUCUCCUGGGUGCCUCCUAUGUGGAUGCUUCCCAUGCAUUUCUUAGAAAUUCUUAUAGCAUCCUCUUGGAUAUGUAAUGUGACUCCCGAUUUAUAGAUGAAAAAACUGAGGCCUGAAGAAAAAUAGCCUGGAUUGAUGUCAUGGCACAAGGAAACAGGCUCUUGGUAACUAUUUUUCAGUCUGCUUAGGAACUUUCCAAUCAUCAGGACUAAAGGAUAAUCUCCCCCCCAAAAAAGACAACAUCAUGACUCUCCUACUUCAACAUUAGAGCUUUUAUUUGGCUUAAUAUUAGUAAGAGAACCAGGCAGAAGUUACAACUAAUCCAAAGGAGAACUCUAAAAAGCAUGAAUUUAUAUAGACUAAAGGAAUGUGGAGGUGAAUUUACAAAUAGACAGAAACUCCCUCCUUCCUCAGGGAGGUGGGAAAUCUAUUGAACCGCUGGACACAAUUUAUUUGCAUGUCUAUAGACAAGAAUUAUUUUGCAUUGCUAUCAGUUAUCUACAACUUACAAGACUGUAAAACAGCAUUGAGGUGCUGAGAGGCUAGAAGCAGACAACCUGCAAGGGUGUGCUCUCCACAGCCUGUUUUUUUUGUUGUUGUUGUUUUUUUAUCAACAACACCCCGUGAUCUUUGNUUUUUUUUGUUGUUGUUUUUUUUUUUUAUCAACAACACCCAGUGACCUUUAGGGGCUUAUUCCAGAUUGCCUCAUGGAAAGAUGUACUUGAACCAGCUCUAGACAAUCUUAGUAUCUCACUCUGCCUGGUAGCAGCAAUUAAUAUAAGGAGUGAGCAAUCAGAGUCCUCCCCAGGGGUUAAUUCAUAGCCUCAGGGAGAAAAAAAUAACGAUCUCGGUCGGUAUGGUCAAGCUAAGGCUGCCAGCCCUGCAGAGGGAAAGCUUCAAGAGGAAGCCAAUUCCCAAUGUGCCAGGCACUAGGUCAUGUGCCUUAUAUGCGCUAAUUCAUUGAAUUUUCAUGACAGACCUACAAGGAAGAUUCUAUUGUUCCAUUUUACAGAUGAGAAAGAGAGGUUCAUAUAGCAAAGGACUUUGCCCAAAAUCACAGCGCUGGUAAGUGGCCAAGCCAGAGGCAAUCACAGGCCAUCAGAUUCCAGAGUCAUUGCCUGAAGCUCUGUGCUUUCCUGCUUUGUAAAGCAUUCUGCAAAGGAAAGCAGAGGUAAAUAACUAUGGGCUACGAUGGAGAACAAGACUGCAGAUGGGGCUGAGGAUCUGUUCCAACCCCAGAGGUGCUGAGGCCGGAAGGGGUUCUUAGAAGGUUCUAGAGCUGCCCCCCCAAUCUUCAAGAAACCCCAGUAUCUUUUCCAGCUACCAAAGCUAAUCCCCUGUCACUUUUUUUUUCCUUAGGCGCCUUUGAGUUACACUUUUUUCCAUGAAGAAUCUUGACUUAUACAGCUAUUAAGUGACAAGCUGAGUUUUAAAACCUCACCUGCCUAAAACACAUAGCUGUCUCUUUCAGUUUCCUCACCUGCAAAUGGGGCUAUUAUUGUACCUACCCCGCUGGGUUAUUGUGAAGAUUAGGUACAUCAAUCCAUCCAAAGCUCUGAAAAGAUUGCCUGGCACCUGAAGUUCUCAAUACAAGUUCCUUUUAUUACCAGCUCUAUUUGGCAAAUGGCUCCAUUGAGCCAAGGAUGUCAUGAACUUGGCCCAAAGUCAUGCACUUGUCAUAUUUAUUAUAAAAGGGCAGGGUCAGCAAUUGAACCCAGGCAGUGAUCAGAGACUGUUUGCUUCACCCGGACCCUGGGAGGGCCCUCAAGAAGUCGUCAAGCCCCUCCUGCCCAGAGCAGAGGGGGCUGCUGUCCUAGGAGCCUGAAUCAGGCAGGGCUCCAGGGCUGGAGGCUGGAGCUGAAACAACCACAGGCAGGUGGGCCUCUCAGAACUGAGGCGCAGCAGUGAGCCGAGUGGUGGGGCGCUGGCUCCCACUCAACUGGGAUCUGAUGCAAGUGGCCCUGCUCCCAUCGGCCUACCCAGGCGUCCCCAAAGCACCGCCAUACCUGGCCUGUGGAUGCUGCCUCCACCUCUUCUCCCUGUCAUUGCCACCGUAUGGAAACAUAAAUUCGGUUAAUGUGUCCAAAAAAGAAAAAUCAAAAUGUCAGAUCUGCAGAGAUGGUUCAAUUGAGGGAAUAUUGAUUGUCACAAAGAAUAUUCUCACUUUAUUCACCUACUUAUUCAACUCCCCUAGGCGCAUAUGAAUUCAUCAAAUAUUGUCACAGCACAUAAUAAUGCUCGUUCCCGAAGCUGUGAAUGCUUGGGCUUCGGUCCUGCACACCGUGCCUGUCCCAGUUGGAGUGAUGGCAGCAGGGCGUGGAAGGAGGGAAGGAAAAACAUUGCCAAGGUAUCGUUAUGGCAUUUUCCCUAAGACAGUGCCUGGGCUAUGGUUAGUCUGGAUCCAAAGGUGGGAGCUCCUGGAAAAAUUCAGACAUACUGGCUGGGCUGAGGCCACUGCUUCCACCUCUCUGUCUUCUCCCCUGCCCACCUUGAAGCAGGCAGCUGAAAACAGCUGGAUGGAUUCCACCAUCUUUCCCAUCACCGCACCCCCUGGCUGAAUACCAGUUCUGGAACCUCCCAGCCACAUGCAGAAAAGGACCUUUCCAGGAGUUAGACUCAACCCAGAAGAAUAAAGAUGCUAAUCACUUUGGGCA